rnacentral:snRNA from 1 species
GUGCUUGCUUUGGCAGCACAUAUACUAAAAUUGGAAUGAUACAGAGACAAUUAGCAUGGUCCUGUACAAGGAUGACAUGCAAAUUCAUGAAGUGUUCCAUAUUUUU